rnacentral:ncRNA from 1 species
UUUAUCAAGAGUGACCGAGGGAACAGGCCCUACGACGUCCGGCAACCUGCGAAAAUUUGCGCAAGGUGCUAAUUCCUGCGGACAAUUCGUCCGAAAGAUGAGG